GGUGAGAUGGCCGAGCGGUCUAAGGCGCCAGACUAAGGUGCUUGAGGAAUCUGGUCCGCAAGGGCGUGGGUUCGAAUCCCACUCUCAUCA
rfam:Grifola frondosa strain 9006-11 000030F, whole genome shotgun sequence.